rnacentral:SRP_RNA from 1 species
GCCAGGCGAGGUGUCACGUGCCUGUAGUCCCAGCUACUCGGGAGUCUGAGGGUGAAGGAUUGCUUGAGCCCAGGAGUUCUGGGCUGUAGUGCACUAUGCUGAUCGGGUGUCCGCACUAAGUUCGGCAUAAAUAUGGUGACCUCCCGGAAGCGGGGGACCACCGGGUCGCCUAAGGAGGGGUGAACCGGCCCAGGUCGGAAACGGAGCAGGUCAAAUCCUGUACUGAUCAGCAGUGGGACUGUGCCUGUGAAUAGCUACUGCACUCCAUCCAGCCUGGACAACAUAGCGAGACCCCGUUUCU